GGGCAGUGAUGACUGACUAAACGUUUCUCGAUACUGAUAAUUGAAUUACCAUAUUCAGUGACCAAUAAUCUUUUGAUGACCUUAUUUGUGCGUGUCUGAGCCUU